rnacentral:rRNA from 1 species
GAUGAACGCUGGCGGCGUGCCUAACACAUGCAAAUCGAGCGAGGUUAUACAGAAUACCGUAUGAUCUAGCGGUAGACGGGUGAGUAACACGUGAGAAACCUUCCCUUGAAUGGGGAACACCCCCCGAGAAAUCGGGGGCUAAUACCCCAUAAGACCACAUUCCGGCAUCGGAAAGGGGUCAAAGGCGUAAGUCGUUUGAGGAUGGUCUCGCGUCCUAUCAGCUUGUUGGUGAGGUAACGGCUCACCAAGGCUAUGACGGGUAUCCGGCCUGAAAGGGUGAUCGGACACACUGGAACUGAGACACGGUCCAGACUCCUACGGGUGGCAG